UUAAAUUGAAGAGUUUGAUCAUGGCUCAGAUUGAACGCUGGCGGCAGGCCUAACACAUGCAAGUCGAGCGGAAACGAGUUGUCUGAACCUUCGGGGAACGAUAACGGCGUCGAGCGGCGGACGGGUGAGUAA
rnacentral:rRNA from 1 species